CCAGCCUUCCAGGAGACCCAGGCAGGGCGUGGUAGGGCGAGGCAGAGGUGGUGCAGAGCGCUCAGCUGCGCAGCAGCAUGAGCGUGACUACAGAUCAGGCCGCACCGUUUAAAAUGGAUACAUGGGUCUUCUGGCUAACUUCCUGUCUUUGGUAGGGUGAUCAUAUGCUUUAUCAUCCAAAUCCAGACACUUAAGAGAGUGAAAGGGGCACUAUAAUAAUUGCACGAGGACAGCAGACAUAACUUUAGCUGUACCUUGCAAACCAGAACAUAUGGUCACCCUACCCUCCGGUCACUUUUUCUUCUUUGUUUCCAUUCUUUUAAUUUUUUUCCCUUUUAAACACACAGCAUUAUCUUUCCCUGAGCACCAUUGUCUUUGCAAAUGCUCUUGCAAUCGGGAUAUUUUUGACCUGGCAACAUGCAUAUUCAGUCUGAACAGUCUCUCUGAACCUACCCCAAAACCUGGUUUUAGCUUCCAGGCAGAAGACUCUGUUCCCUGGCUUGCAACCCCCAUGACUCAAGAAUGAAAGAUGUCAGAAGAUGUCACAGGUGGGACAGUGGCUCUUAUCUCAAUUUUGGUGCCUCUUUGCUAAAUGUAUUCCUGUAAUUUUUUUUUUUUUUUGAGACGGAGUCUCGCUCUGUCGUGCAGGCUGGAGUGCAAUGGUGCAAUCUCGGCUCACUGCAAGCUCUGCCUCCUGGUUUUAUGCCAUUCUCCUGCCUCAGCCUCCCAAGUAUCUGGUACUAUAGGCACGCGCCACCAUGCCUGGUUAAUUUUUGUAUUUUUAGUAGAGACGGGGCUUCACCACGUUGGCCAGGCUGGUCAGAAACUCCUGACCUCAGGUGAUUUGCCCGCCUCAGCUUACUAAAGUGCUGGGAUUACAGGCAUGAGCCACUGUGCCCGGCCCUAUUCCUGUAAUUUUGUUCUGAGUGCUCAUUUCCUUCGUCUCUUUUAAUUUACGUAUAUUGGUUUAUUGAAUUGCAAGUAGACAAGUCCCAUUAAGCAGGAUUCUUGUAUUUCCAAGAUCAUCUCAUUACUCCAUUCAACCCCAAAUUAGCAUGCCAUUUAUCCCCUUGUUUCUGAACCCUCUUCACUUAAUAGUCUUGAAAACAUCCAUCCAUUGCAAAAAGGACUCGAACUGUUUUCACGUCCAUUUUUAGUUGAUUCAUUGAUAUCCAAGUAAUGAUUUGUCUAGGGGAGUCAUUAGUAGAGAACUGUGCCGUUAAAUUUAGUUUUAUAGUUGGAUUCUGCUAGUUAAUAUCUCUCUCUUGUCAUUCUCACAUUGCAACAAAUGACUAUGGUUCCUGUCUUAACCUAAAAUCCAGGUUAGAAAUUUGGUUUUAUCUGAAUAAGAUAUUAAUAGAUAAUGUGAGAAAAAUAAUUUACUGAAACUUUUCUCAGCUAAGAAUGACACUCGUCGUCAUUAAGCAAGUGGAAAAUUGGGCUAUAAAUAUAUAAACUCUUAAAAUAUUAUGUUUAGAGACAAGGUAUUCCUUUUUUUUUUUUUUUUUUUUUUUUUUUUUUAGUAAAGCAUAUUUGCUAUGGUUGGAAUGAUUGUGUCUCCUUUAAAAUUCAUACUGGAACUUAAUCCCCAAUGUGAUAGAAUUAAGAGGUGGAGUCUAGGAGAUGACUAAGCUGUAAGGGAGGAGCCCCCUCAUGAAUGGGGUUAGUGACCUUAUGAAAGGGCUUGAGGGAACUACCUAGCUCUGUUUUCUUUUGUUUUUCUGUCCUUUCCACCAUGUUAGGACACUGUUCAAGGUGCCAUCUUGGAAGCAGGAGCAGCCCUUGCGAGACUACAAGCCUGCUGGCCCCUUGAUCUUGGACUUCUCAGACACCAAAACUGUGAGAAACACAUUUUUUUUCUUUACCCGUUACCCAGUCUCAGAUAUUUUGUUAUAACACCACAAAUGGACUAAGACAGUAUCUUACAUACAGUGAGGUGCAUAUACCUAAAGUUACAACUUUGUACUAUCGUUUUUUGGUUUGUUUUUUGUUUUUGAGAUGGAGUCUUGCUCUGUUGCCCAGACUGGAGUGCAGUGGCAAGAUCUUGGCUCACUGCAACCUCUGCCUCCCGGGUUCAAGUGAUUCUCCAGCCUCAGCCUCCUGAGUAGCUGGGAUUAUAGGCGCCUGCCACCACGCCUGGCUAAUUUUUGUAUGGUAGUAGAGAUGGGGUUUCACCAUGUUGACCAGGCUGGUCUUGAACUCCUGACCUCAAGUGAUCCACCUGCCUAGGCCUCCCAAAGUGCUGGGAUUACAGGUGUGAGUCACCACGCCCAGUCAACUCAAUAGUAUUUACAUAUGUGCACACUCAUGUAACCAACACUCAGCUCAAGAUACAGGAUGUUCCCAUCAGCACAGAGGGCUCCCUCUUGCCCCUUCUCAGUUGCUGUCCCCUCACAGUUAACCAGGAUCCUGACCUCUGUCACCAUGGAUUAGUUUUGCCUGUUCUUGAACUUCAUAUAAAUGGGAUCAUUCAGUAUGUGCGCGU
rnacentral:lncRNA from 1 species